AGUAGCCCACAUCUGACAUCCCCUUGUGUUAAGAUAGACCAGGUGUUGGUGUCCAGUUGCCAGAAUUUUUGCUGCUGAGGGAUCUCUUGAAGUCUUUCCAAGGGAAAAAACAGGGCAAAAGCGACCACGGAUGAGAAUGGUUCAAGAUAGCAUAAACUACAUAUCACCUUCUCAGUUCACCUUAUGCUAUUAGGUCUAUCAAAUUCUAUCA